rnacentral:rRNA from 1 species
UUGACCCCACAUCCGGUGAGACUACCCGCUUAACUUCUCAUAUCAAUAAGCGGAGGAAGCAU